UGUAUUCAAAUGCCGACAGGGGACGAAUGCUUUUGCUGCAGGGAGUGGGACUUAGUCAUCCCACAGAUGCAAGAGCUGGAGCUGGACACUAGCAUUCAGGAUCUCGAUGUGUCUGGGCAUAGCGCCCCCCGAGACAGGGCAAUCUGCAUUACGGAGCACCAGGACUUUCUACCCCUUCUAAAUCGAGGAGUGCUGGAAACAUUCUUCUCCUUUGAUAAAAUAAAUUGGAAAAGAAGACCCAGACCUGCUGGACCCAACGGCCAGUUGUCAAUGUUGCAGUACCGAUUGGUGGCUUACAGAAUCGUUCUUGAGUGGGGGUUGAAAGGAACACAGCUGGGAAGAGGAAACCGACGUGUUCUUCCAUCCUGUGUAGUGACCAGCAUCCGAAACAAAUACCCUUCGGCCGCUGGACAAUAUGUUGGAUUCAGGGAAGCACAAGAUGCUCUGAGAUUGUUUUGAACACAACACUACUGUAGUCUACUAGAAAACAUUUGCUACUUCAACAAAUCCUUUAUAUCAAACACAAAAAGAAGACAUACAUUUGGUUACAGAUGACAUUACGAUUGUUUACGGUAACAUUUUAACAACAAUGUACGCGUAUAUGGUUCAAUAAAUGUUUUGCUGUUGA